rnacentral:rRNA from 1 species
GAUGAACGUUGGCGGCGUGCCUAAUACAUGCAAGUCGAACGUGAGCUCCGGUUUCGACUGGGGUGAAAGUGGCGAACGGGUGAGGAACACAUGGCCGACCUGCCCCUCAGAGGGGGAUAACCACUGGAAACGGUGGCUAAUACCCCAUACGCUCGCACUGGUUAGAGGCGGUGUGAGGAAAGCAUUGUGCUGAGGGAGGGGGCUGUGGCCCAUCAGCUAGUUGGUAGGGUAACGGCCUACCAAGGCGAUGACGGGUAGGGGGCCUGAGAGGGUGACCCCCCACACGGGCACUGAGACACGGGCCCGACUCCUACGGGAGGCUG